rnacentral:rRNA from 1 species
GGGCCCGCACAAGCAGCGGAGCAUGUGGUUUAAUUCGAAGCAACGCGAAGAACCUUACCAGGUCUUGACAUCCACUUAAGCCCAUGGAGACAUGGGGUCCCCUUCGGGGGGAAGUGAGACAGGUGGUGCAUGGUUGUCGUCAGCUCGUGUCGUGAGAUGUUGGGUUAAGUCCCGCAACGAGCGCAACCCUUAUUUUCAGUUACUAACGCGUGAAGGCGAGGACUCUGAAGAGACUGCCGGGGACAACUCGGAGGAAGGUGGGGACGACGUCAAAUCAUCAUGCCCUUUAUGACCUGGGCUACACACGUGCUACAAUGGCCACUACAAAGAGGAGCGAGCCCGUAAGGGGGAGCGGAUCUGAGAAAAGUGGUCCCAGUUCAGAUUGUGGGCUGCAACCCGCCCACAUGAAGUCGGAGUUGCUAGUAAUCGCGGAUCAGCAUGCCGCGGUGAAUACGUUCCCGGGCCUU